CCCGAUCCCUACCACCACUACCCAUGCGAGUUCAUUGGUUGCCUCUGCCGUUGCCACUGACCUCGUCGCAAGCUGUUCCAGUCGACCUCGAGGCCACCGUUCUCCUUUUCUUUCCCCCUACGCCCGUUUUUUCUUUUUCUGGGAAAAAUCUAAGAUCGAUUCUUAUGGCUGUUCUAUUGGUUUUCAAAAAAUUGUCCGGUUCUGAUAGAUUCAAUCGGAUUUGACUUGCAAAAGGAGGUGAAGGUAAGCGCUAAACACUGAAAUGUCCUUUUGGAUUUCCCAAAAUUUCUCUGCGACUCGCUCAACCUCUCAACUCCCUGACCUAUUGCUCUUGCCCUCCCGAUCACUUCUCUAUCUUCACACACGGGGCUCAAUUGCGGUCGUUUCGACAAUUAUUCAAGGCAUUUUAAGAACUUAAAGAGGAGGAAAAUUUGCUCUUGAAGGAAACGGAAUCACUCGAAUAAGGUGAUAUUGGAAGAGAGUUGGAUGUAUCGAUCAAGGGCUACCAAUGAAUAUAAUAUGGGGGUCAUUCAGUUUCUUGAUUUUUCUUUUGCUAAAGCAAGUCAAAAUAAUAAAAUUCUCCGUCCAUGUGAGAAAUGUUCUAAUCUUUAUUGGAUAGAAUGAGAUGAAGUCUUUAAUCAUUUGGUGUGCCAUGGAUUUAUCCAAGGGUACACAAAUUGGGUUCUACAUGGGGAGAGUGCAUCUUAUUCGUGUACUUCGGCUAAUGCUAAUAUACAAGAUAAUAAUGGCGCACGAGGAGGUAUGCAAGAGUUGCUAGAUGACAUGAUGAUGGGUAUCACUUCAGUGACCCAACUCAUGAAAUUAAUGAACAAACAACAGAGCCCAAUUUAGAAACCCCAAAGUUUUAUAAGUUGAUUGAGGAUGGUUGAAAGGAACUCUAUCUCGGUUGUCAAAGUCAUUCGAAGCUUUCCUUCAUCAUCCAGUUAUUCCUCAUCAAAUGUCUUGGGAAGUGGCCUAAUAAAUCAUUUACAAUGUUGCUUGAGUUAUUAAGAGUAGUACUUUCAUAAGGUGAAAUAUUAUGAAGCGAUGAAGUACAUUAGACAGUUGGGCCUUAGCUAUGAGAAAAUUGAUGCUUGUCCCAACGAUUGUAAUGUUAUGUUGGAAAGACAAUGCUAAUUACUCUGAAUGCCACAUUUGUGGUGAAUUGAGAUGGAAAGAAAGGAACUUAGUUGGUCAAACGAAGAAAUCAAAUUCCAAAUCUUGAAAUGUGCCACAAAAAAUAUUGUGCUAUUUUCCACUUAAGCAACGACUUCAAAGGUUAUUUAUGUCAUCCAAAGCGGCGUACCUCAUG